rnacentral:tRNA from 1 species
GCCCUGGUAGUGUAGUGGCCUAUCAUGGAGCCCUGUCGAGGCUCCGACCCGGGUUCAAUAACUUGGCGCCAUCGCCAGGCUGAAAGUCCCGGCCGGGGCG